CUGCAUGGACUCUGGACCUGGUUCAUCACUUUGCCUUGUCUGGGACUGCCAGAGGACCCUGUUACCAGAGUAUGAGGAAUUUCUGUGACUAAGAUGCUGCCUGCAUUUGGCUCCUUAGAGUCAACAAUCCUAGAGGUCAGACUCUUGACCAGCUGGAAAAUCUGCAGAGUGAUUAUGUCAUGAUCAGACGGAGACGUGGCACUGCUGAAGUCUGAGCUGCAAUAGACAGCAGGGAAAAGUUGAUUUCUGUGUUUUUCUUGAAGUUGGAGAGAGGGUGGUGUGAGGCUGUGAACCUGUUUCAUGAGGACAGUGCUAGCCACUGUGGAUAACUGGGACUCUGGAAGAAACUCUUACAAGAGCCAGCUGUAACUUCUGCACACGUGCAGGGUACGCAGUGCUAAGCUGAGACUGAAAGAAGCAAACCUCUAUCACAUUUCUGUACUCUGAUUUCCAAAUAGGACUUGAUACCAAA